rnacentral:misc_RNA from 1 species
GGAUGAAGAACGCAGCGAAAUGCGAUAAGUAAUGUGAAUUGCAGAAUUCAGUGAAUCAUCGAAUCUUUGAACGCACCUUGCGCUCCUUGGUAUUCUGAGGAGCAUGCCUGUUUGAGUGUCAUUUAAUUCUCAAACUUUACCUAGUUUGCAAAAACUAGAUCAGGUUUGGAGUCUGGAAGUUGCUGGCUUUUUUUUUAAGCUAGCUCUUCUAAAAUAUAUUAGCAGAAUUAUUGCUACUCAAUAUGGUAUGAUAAUUAUCUAUACCGUUGAAAGUAAGCUUUCUGAUUUUGCUUCUAAUUGUCUACCAAGACAACCUUGAUACCUUUGACCUCAAAUCAGGUAGGACUACCCGCUGAACUUAAGCAUAUCAAUAAGCGGAGGA